GAUGUACUCCCUCCGUUCAGAAAUACUUGUCGGGGAAAUGGAUGUAUCUAGACGUAUUUUAGUUCUAGAUACAUUCAUUUUCGCGACAAGUAAUUCCGGACGGAGGGAGUAUUAA
rnacentral:pre_miRNA from 1 species